UGGGGAAUUUUGGACAAUGGGCGAAAGCCUGAUCCAGCAAUGCCGCGUGUGUGAAGAAGGCCUUCGGGUUGUAAAGCACUUUUGUCCGGAAAGAAAUCCUUGGCUCUAAUACAGUCGGGGGAUGACGGUACCGGAAGAAUAAGCACCGGCUAACUACGUGCCAGCAGCCGCGGUAAUACGUAGGGUGCAAGCGUUAAUCGGAAUUACUGGGCGUAAAGCGUGCGCAGGCGGUUUGCUAAGACCGAUGUGAAAUCCCCGGGCUCAACCUGGGAACUGCAUUGGGUGACUGGCAGGCUAGAGUAUGGCAGAGGGGGGUAGAAUUCCACGUGUAGCAGUGAAAUGCGUAGAGAUGUGGAGGAAUACCGAUGGCGAAGGCAGCCCCCCUGGGCCAAAUACUGACGCUCAUGCACGAAAGCGUGGGGAGCAAACAGGAUUAGAUACCCUGGUAGUCCACGCCCUAAACGAUGUCAACUAGUUGUUGGGGAUUCACUUCCUUAGUAACGUAGCUAACGCGUGAAGUUGACCGCCUGGGGAGUACGGUCGCAAGAUUAAAACUCAAAUGAAUUGACGGGGU
rnacentral:rRNA from 1 species